rnacentral:rRNA from 1 species
UACGUAGGUGGCAAGCGUUGUCCGGAAUUAUUGGGCGUAAAGAGCUCGUAGGCGGUCUGUUACGUCCGCUGUGAAAACCCAGGGCUUAACCCUGGGCUUGCAGUGGAUACGGGCAGACUAGAGGCAGGUAGGGGAGAAUGGAAUUCCCGGUGUAGCGGUGAAAUGCGCAGAUAUCGGGAGGAACACCGGUGGCGAAGGCGGUUCUCUGGGCCUGACCUGACGCUGAGGAGCGAAAGCGUGGGGAGCGAACAGG